rnacentral:tRNA from 1 species
GGAGGGGUUCCCGAGCGGACAAAGGGAUCAGACUGUAAAUCUGACGGCUUAUGCCUUCGUGGGUUCGAAUCCUACCCCCUCCA